AACUAACGCUGGCGGCGCGUCUUAAACAUGCAAGUCGAACGGAAAGGUCCCUUCGGGGAUACUCGAGCGGCGAACGGGUGAGUAACACGUAGGUUAUCUACCUCUCGGCGGGGGACAACCAGGGGAAACCCUGGCUAAUACCGCAUACGAUUUCGAGGUCCACGGACUUUGAACUGAAAGAUUUAUCACCGAGAGAUGAGCCUGCGUCCAAUUAGCUUGAUGGUGGGGUAACUGCCCACCAUGGCUUCGAUUGGUAGCCGGCCUGAGAGGGUGAUCGGCCACACUGGGACUGAGAUACGGCCCAG
rnacentral:rRNA from 1 species